GAUGAAGAACGCAGCGAAAUGCGAUAAGUAAUGUGAAUUGCAGAAUUCAGUGAAUCAUCGAAUCUUUGAACGCACAUUGCGCCCAUUAGUAUUCUAGUGGGCAUGCCUGUUCGAGCGUCAUUUCAACCCUUAAGCCUAGCUUAGUAUUGGGAAUCGACUUUACUGUCGUUCCUCAAAUUCAACGGCGGAUUUAUAGCAAUCUCUGAACGUAGUAAUUUUUUUCCUCGUUUUUGAAAUACUAUAAACCUCAGCCGCUAAACCCCCAAUUUUUCUAUGGUUGACCUCGGAUCAGGUAGGAAUACCCGCUGAACUUAAGCAUAUCAAUAAGCGGAGGA
rnacentral:misc_RNA from 1 species